UCGAGCGAUCUUCUUCGGAAGGGAGCGGCGGACGGGUGAGUAACGCGUGGGUAACCUGCCCUGUACACACGGAUAACAUACCGAAAGGUAUGCUAAUACGGGAUAACAUAAGAAAGUCGCAUGGAUUUCUUAUCAAAGCUUUUGCGGUACAGGAUGGACCCGCGUCUGAUUAGCUAGUUGGUAAGGUAACGGCUUACCAAGGCGACGAUCAGUAGCCGACCUGAGAGGGUGAUCGGCCACAUUGGAACUGAGACACGGUCCAAACUCCUACGGGAGGCAGCAGUGGGGAAUAUUGCACAAUGGGCGAAAGCCUGAUGCAGCAACGCCGCGUGAGCGAUGAAGGCCUUCGGGUCGUAAAGCUCUGUCCUCAAGGAAGAUAAUGACGGUACUUGAGGAGGAAGCCCCGGCUAACUACGUGCCAGCAGCCGCGGUAAUACGUAGGGGGCUAGCGUUAUCCGGAAUUACUGGGCGUAAAGGGUGCGUAGGCGGUCUUUCAAGUCAGAAGUGAAAGGCUACGGCUCAACCGUAGUAAGCUUUUGAAACUGUAAGACUUGAGUGCAGGAGAGGAGAGUGGAAUUCCUAGUGUAGCGGUGAAAUGCGUAGAUAUUAGGAGGAACACCAGUUGCGAAGGCGGCUCUCUGGACUGUAACUGACGCUGAGGCACGAAAGCGUGGGG
rnacentral:rRNA from 1 species